GAGUUUGAUCCUGGCUCAGGACAAACGCUGGCGGCGUGCUUUACACAUGCAAGUCGAGCGAUGAGAUCCCUUCGGGGAAGGAUUAGCGGCGAACGGGUGAGGAACACGUGAGGAAUCUGCCUUCAACACUGGGAUAACUCCGGGAAACCGGGGCUAAUACCGGAUACGAGACCUGCAGGCAUCUGCGGGUCUGGAAAGUUUUUCGGUUGAAGAUGACCUCGCGGCCUAUCAGCUUGUUGGUGAGGUAAUGGCUCACCAAGGCGACGACGGGUAGCCGGCCUGAGAGGGCGACCGGCCACACUGGGACUGAGACACGGCCCAGACUCCUACGGGAGGCAGCAGUGGGGAAUAUUGGGCAAUGGAGGAAACUCUGACCCAGCGACGCCGCGUGCGGGAUGAAGGCCUUCGGGUUGUAAACCGCUUUCAGCAGGGAAUAAGCGCAAGUGAAGGUACCUGCAGAAGAAGCACCGGCUAACUAUGUGCCAGCAGCCGCGGUAAUACAUAGGGUGCAAGCGUUGUCCGGAAUUAUUGGGCGUAAAGAGCUCGUAGGUGGUUCGCCACGUCGGAUGUGAAAAUCUGGGGCUUAACCCCAGACCUGCAUUCGAUACGGGCGAGCUAGAGUGUGGUAGGGGAGACUGGAAUUCCUGGUGUAGCGGUGGAAUGCGCAGAUAUCAGGAGGAACACCAAUGGCGAAGGCAGGUCUCUGGGCCAUUACUGACACUGAGGAGCGAAAGCGUGGGGAGCGAACAGGAUUAGAUACCCUGGUAGUCCACGCCGUAAACGGUGGGCACUAGUUGUGGGAACCUUCCACGGUUUCUGCGACGCAGCUAACGCAUUAAGUGCCCCGCCUGGGGAGUACGAUCGCAAGAUUAAAACUCAAAGGAAUUGACGGGGCCCCGCACAAGCAGCGGAGCAUGCGGCUUAAUUCGACGCAACGCGAAGAACCUUACCAAGGCUUGACAUAUACAGGAAUAUGGCAGAAAUGUCAUAGCCGCAAGGUCUGUAUACAGGUGGUGCAUGGUUGUCGUCAGCUCGUGUCGUGAGAUGUUGGGUUAAGUCCCGCAACGAGCGCAACCCAA
rnacentral:rRNA from 1 species